ensembl:lncRNA
GGUCAGAUGGGGUUCUGAAUCACAGUGAUAGGGUCAGAUUGGAUGGUAGGGACAGAUGGGGUGACAUGGAGUUACGGAUCACAUGGGUUGUAUGGUCGGGGUGAGGUGGGGGCAAGGAUCCCAGAUUUAUGGGCCACAUGGCGUCAGUUCGCAGCAUGAUGGGGGCAGGAAGAGUCAGGGAGUCACAGGGUCAUGUGGGGGUAUGGUUCCCAUCAGGGCUGUGGGUCACGUGCAGCCAUGGGGUCACGCACAUACAGGGCGAUGAGGUCAUCUUGGGUUAUGGCUCAUGUGGGGUAACGGCUCAGGGCCCCACCUUUGGGCCACAGGGACGCCCAGUCCCCUCUCAGGAUGAAAUGAAACCACUGCAAACUCUGCCCACCCCACCCCCCUUUUUACCUCAAACCGCUCCCCACAUCCUCCCAUAUUC